AAAAAAGAAGGAAAUGGUCCCAGAAUAGUUUGGCUUUCAGAGAAGCCCAAGAAUCAGAAGGGAGGCACAUUGGGCCAUAGAAACAAGGUGGAAUUUGGAGUCAGGGGACUUGAAUCCUAGGAUGGAGAUUCCUCAGCUGGACGAUCUUGAAUGGCACCAGAGACACAGGAUCAUGAGGGAGUGGGCCAAGAAGGGGCUGUGGAAAAGCUGGUGAUGCUCUUUACUUCUGACUUGAAAAUCCUCGCUGCUCUUGAUGAGGAGGAGCCACGUGGCCGUGGGGUCUUUCAGCCUACAUUUUUUUCAAGUCUCACCCAGUUGUGGGGCAAAGGUUCCAUGGAGCCCCUUUCAUCUCACCACCUGAGAACUGUGACCAAUGACGUGAAAAGUGCAGGAAACAGAACUAUAACUUUUACGAUUGUAAGUUCCGCCAGACUUAGAAGAUUGGUGCGCGUGAAUUCUGACAACAGCACAGAGGACGUUUCCGUGUUUACUCAGAAUCUGAUGAGGAAUCUUGAGGCUCAGAAACGCUACAUUGGAUUUCAACACAAGCAGCAGACUCCAGACCCCCUGCUCUCAACCAUUUUGCUACGCUGUGAAAGAGCUACGCCUGGAACACUGGGGUUUUACUUAUAUAAGGAGCAGCCUGCUACUUCUUCUGUUUCAUUAAAGCCUGAAGAAAGGGCUCCGUGAGCG
rnacentral:lncRNA from 1 species